rnacentral:ncRNA from 2 species
GGCACGGGCCGUGACUGGCGCGCUGGGAUGGGACGGACCAUCGGGGAGCGGCCUCGCGGGAAAUCAGUGCCGUGCGCCUGGGCCGAACGU